AUACUUACCUUGCAGGGGAGAUACCAUGAUCAUGAAGGUGGUUUUCCCAGAGUGAGGCAUAUCCAUUAUACUCUAAUAUGCUGGCCUCUGCAAUUUUCCUAGAUGUAGGAAACUAGACUGCAUAAUUUGUGGUAGUGGAGGAAUAUGUUCUCACUCCUCCU